rnacentral:rRNA from 1 species
AUUGAACGCUGGCGGCAUGCCUUACACAUGCAAGUCGAACGGCAGCAUGGAGAGCUUGCUCUCUGAUGGCGAGUGGCGAACGGGUGAGUAAUGCAUCGGAACGUACCGUGUAAUGGGGGAUAACGUAGCGAAAGUUACGCUAAUACCGCAUACGACCUGAGGGCGAAAGCAGGGGAUCGCAAGACCUUGCGUUAUACGAGCGGACGAUGUCAGAUUAGCUAGUUGGUGAGGUAAAGGCUCACCAAGGCGACGAUCUGUAGCGGGUCUGAGAGGAGGAUCCGCCACACUGGGACUGAGACACGGCCCAGACUCCUACGGGAGGCAGCAGUGGGGAAUUUUGGACAAUGGGGGCAACCCUGAUCCAGCCAUGCCGCGUGAGUGAAGAAGGCCUUCGGGUUGUAAAGCUCUUUCGGCCGGGAAGAAAUCGCACAGGCUAAUACUCUGUGUGGAUGACGGUACCGGCAUAAGAAGCACCGGCUAACUACGUGCCAGCCGCCGCAGUAA